rnacentral:lncRNA from 1 species
CCUCCAGUUCUCCCAGUGACCCUCCCAGUACCCCCAGUGCCCCACCAGUGCUCCCCCAGUACCCUCCAGUUCUCCCAGUGGGCCCUCCCAGUACCCCCAGUGCCCCCCCAGUGCUCCCCCAGUAUCCUCCAGUGCUCCCAGUGCCCCUUCCAGUACUCCCAGUGCCCCCCCCGUUUUCCCAGUGCCCCUCCCAGUGCCCCUCUGUACCCUCCAGUUCUCCCAGUGCCCCCUCCCAGUGCUCCCAGUGCCCUCCCACUGCCCCUUCCCCGCCUCCCCAGUCGCCCAGCAUCCUCCCAGUUCCCCAGGGCUGGGUUGUGACUUAUGGGGCAGGGCCGUGGGGCAGGGCCAGGGUCAUGGCCGUGGGGCAGGGAUGUGGGGCAAGGGUGUGGGGCGGGGCUGUGGGGCGGGGUCAUGGCCGUGGGGCAGUUAUGGGGAAGGGNNNNNNNNNNGGUGUGGGGCAGGGGUGUGGGGCAGUUAUGGGGCAGGGCUCUGGGGCAGAGGUGUGGGGCAGGGUUAUGGGGCAGGGUCACGGCUAUGGGGCAAGGCUGUAAGGCAGUGCUAUGGGGCAGGGCUAUGGGGUGAGGUUAUGGGGCAGGGUUAUGGGGCAGAACCAUGGCUAUGGGGCAGGGCUAUGGGGCAGGACCAUGGUUAUGGGGCAAGGCUAUGGGGCAGGGCUAUGGGGUACGGUUAUGGGGCAGGGUUAUGGGGCAGAGCCAUGGCUAUGGGGCAGGGCUAUGGGGUGAGGUUAUGGGGCAGGGUUAUGGGGCAGAACCAUGGCAAUGGGGCAAGCCUAUGGGACACAGUUAUGGGGCGGGGCUAUGGGGUGAGGUUAUGGGGCAGUGCAGUGCUAUGGGGCAGGGCCACAGCUAUGGGGCAUGGUUAUGGGGCACGGUUAUGGGGCUGGGUCACAGCUAUGGGGCAGGGCUAUGGGGCGAGGUUAUGGGGCAGGGGCACAGCUAUGGGGCAGGGCUAUGGGGCGAGGUUAUGGGGCAGGGGCACAGCUAUGGGGCAGGGCUAUGGGGCGAGGUUAUGGGGCAGGGGCACAGCUAUGGGGCAGGGCUAUGGGGCGAGGUUAUGGGGCAGGGGCACAGCUAUGGGGCAGGGCUAUGGGGCGAGGUUAUGGGGCAGGGGCACAGCUAUGGGGCAGGGCUGUAAGGCAGUGUUAUGGGGCAGGGCCGUGGGGCAGGGUUAUGAGGCAGGGCUAUGGGGCAAGGUUAUGGGGCAGGGCCAUGGCUAUGGGGCAAGGCUAUGGGGCAGGGCUAUGGGGCAGAACCAUGACUAUGGGGCAGGGUUAUGGGGCAAGGUUGUGGGGCAGGGUUAUGGGGCAAAACCAUGGUUGUGGGGCAGGACUAUGGGGCAGGGCCAUGGCUAUGGGGUGAGGUUAUGGGGCAGGGCUAUGGGGCAGAACCAUGGUUAUGGGGCAAGGCUAUGGGACAUGGUUAUGGGGCAGGGCUAUGGGGUAGGGUUAUGGGGCACGGUUAUGGGGCACGGUUAUGGGGCAUGGUUAUGGGACAGGGUCACAGCUAUGGGGCAGGGCUGUAAGGCAGUGCUAUGGGGGCAGGGUUAUGGGGCAGGGUUAUGGGGCAAGNNNNNNNNNNGGUGACAUCCCCCUGCCUUUGCCCCCUGUGUCCCAUCCUGCUCCCGGUUGGGAUCAGGGGUGGUGGGGGGCACCGGGCCCCAUGUCCCUGCUGCCACAGCCCUAGGACACCGUGCCACAGGCAGGAGGUGAUGGCAGGGCCAGCAGGCAUGGGCCCCCCCACGGCGCUUUCCCUUGGCUGGAGCCACCCUCUGCCCAGCCCAAAGUCCCGCAGCGCCUCACGGCCCGGGCAAAGUCUUGCGGAGAAGCAAAGCUCUCCGCAGCCAUCCGAGCCCCAGGGGGGGGGGGGAGGCGGGGGGGGGGCCGAGCCCCCCCGUGGGGACAGCUGUGGGGCCGGGGCAGGUGGCGGCGCCCGAAAUAGCCCCACAAAUCCCCCGAGCGGAAACAGGGGGGGCCGGG